GACGAACGCUGGCGGCGUGUUUAAGACAUGCAAGUCGCACGGGAUAAGACAUGUAGUAAUACUUGUUUUAUUUAGUGGCGCACGGGUGAGUAACACGUGAAUUACAUGCCCUAUAGUGGGGAAUAGCCCAGGGAAACUUGGAUUAAUACCCCAUGGUAUCGAAAGAUUAAAGGUGGCCGCAAGGCUGUCGCUAUAGGAUUGGUUCGCGCCCUAUCAGCUUGUUGGUGAGGUAACGGCUCACCAAGGCAAUGACGGGUACCUGGUCUGAGAGGACGAUCAGGAACACUGGAACUGAGACACGGUCCAGACACCUACGGGUGGCAGCAGUCGAGAGUAAUUCACAAUGGGGGCAACCCUGGUGGUGCAACGCCGCGUGGAGGAUGACGGUCUUCGGAUUGUAAACUCCUGUCAUCUGGGAGAAAGACCUGACGGUAAAUAGCCGGCAGGGUUGAUAGUACCAGAAGAGGAAGGGACGGCUAACUUCGUGCCAGCCGCCGCAGUAA
rnacentral:rRNA from 1 species